UACGUAGGGUGCGAGCGUUGUCCGGAAUUAUUGGGCGUAAAGAGCUCGUAGGCGGUUUGUUGCGUCUAUCGUGAAAACCUGCAGCUUAACUGUGGGCUUGCGGUGGAUACGGGCAGACUUGAGUUCGGUAGGGGAGACUGGAAUUCCUGGUGUAGCGGUGAAAUGCGCAGAUAUCAAGAGGAACACCAGUGGCGAAGGCGAGUCCCUGGACGAUACCUGACGCUGAGGCACGAAAGCCAAGGGAGCAAACAGG
rnacentral:rRNA from 1 species